UCGUCGGAGCAGGAUGUCUGUGUCUUCCUGCGGAACGCAUUUAAAGAUGUUAAAGAGAUUUAGUAGUUGUCCAUGGUCAUGUAAUCAUGAAUGUGAACACGUGCUACAUGAGAGUGAAUUUGUAUCUGGGUGAAAACGUGGUUUCACGUUAACAGCUCGUGCUUAACGGGCCUUAAGCAACCACGUGGACUGAAAGAUGGUGGACAAACUAAGUGGUCUUCAGGCUGUCAAGUCACUGCUGAAGUAAAACAAAUGUCAUCAUUGGGUCUUAUGAGAGGUGAAGCUGAGUUUAAGCCAAAGAUGGGCUCUCCAGAGUGAACAGCUGAAAACGUGUGUGAGCUGCCUUCUUUAAAAAGGUGAUCCUGCCAGGAAAAUGCACCUGCUGGAGGUGUGGAGUCUGACAGGGUUGGGCUGGUUACUCAAGAAGACUCAUCAGAAAGAAGCAAUUCAUCUUACGAACUGCAAAUGAGACAAUCCUUGUGUAAUUCUGCCAGUAUAAUCCUGUCCCAGGAGUGUCUAGUGGAUUUUGUCAGAAUUGGAUCCAGCGGCUGCAGUGACUGUCACGCAAGCUUUGUGUGAUGCUGUGGACACUGAAGAUGGAUGUCAGACAGAUGUUUGUGGAUACACAUUUUACUUGUUAAAGCUGAUUUUUAAAUACUAUAUUGCCAGCAAUCUGAAAUUAAUAAAUUAAUAAAA